rnacentral:rRNA from 1 species
UUUUAUGAGAGUUUGAUCCUGGCUCAGGACGAACGCUGGCGGCGUGCCUAAUACAUGCAAGUCGAACGCUUCUUUUUCCACCGGAGCUUGCUCCACCGGAAAAAGAGGAGUGGCGAACGGGUGAGUAACACGUGGGUAACCUGCCCAUCAGAAGGGGAUAACACUUGGAAACAGGUGCUAAUACCGUAUAACAAUCGAACCCGCAUGGUUUUGAUUUGAAAGGCGCUUUCGGGUGUCGCUGAUGGAUGGACCCGCGGUGCAUUAGCUAGUUGGUGAGGUAACGGCUCACCAAGGCCACGAUGCAUAGCCGACCUGAGAGGGUGAUCGGCCACAUUGGGACUGAGACACGGCCCAAACUCCUACGGGAGGCAGCAGUAGGGAAUCUUCGGCAAUGGACGAAAGUCUGACCGAGCAACGCCGCGUGAGUGAAGAAGGUUUUCGGAU